UACGUAGGGAGCAAGCGUUGUCCGGAAUCAUUGGGCGUAAAGCGCGCGUAGGUGGCCAUAUAAGUCCGCUGUGAAAGUCAAAGGCUCAACCUUUGAAAGCCGGUGGAUACUGCAUGGCUAGAGUACGGAAGAGGCGAGUGGAAUUCCUGGUGUAGCGGUGGAAUGCGCAGAUAUCAGGAGGAACACCAAUAGCGAAGGCAGCUCGCUGGGACGUUACUGACACUGAGGCGCGAAAGCGUGGGGAGCGAACAGG
rnacentral:rRNA from 1 species